AGGUAUUAGCCAUGUAAUACAACUCGGGAAACAUCGGGUAACAUCGACAUAUAUCGCCACUCGCCGUAACAGAUCGCGACGAACAUCGGGCGUAUUCUGCCUGUACCGGAUGUUGCUAUUUUUAGAAACAGAAGGUAUUUCCAGGCUAUUCAUAGGUCAAUAAUGGAAUUUCUACAUCGUAGGAUUUGGAAACAGUGUGAUGUUUUUCUCAUGAAUAUACGUUUAAAAUAAAUAAACACUAAAAGUACACGCUGACAGUUGAUUACGAUACAUCUAACAAUUUGAGUCAUUACAGUAAAACAUGGAUUAUAAGUGAAAUAUACGCGUAAGAGAAGAUUUUCUCUCAAAAAAAACGAACUGUCAACAAUCGGCAUGGAACUGGGAUAUUCAGAUAUUUGUAUGAAAGGGCUCUGAAUCUGCCUGGGUGCUGACGCUGUGGAGGAACUUUCAAGGACAAAAAUUUUGGGUACUCAAAGAAUGGUCCUGUCCAGAAAUUCAUAUUGCCUCCGGAGUGUGGAAUAUGGUCCUAAAAUUCUGAUGUGCCAGCAGCCGGAAGUGGUCAACUGAAACCAGGAGGCGAUGCACCUCUGAACCACAUAUUUCAACCGAAUGAAGAUGAUAUUCACCCCUGUGGAACUUGUUUGUGUGUAAAUUAUUCAAAUGUGUGACAUUUACAGCAGAUGUGUAUAAAUUGAGCAACAUAAAGACAAUCAUGCAAAAUUAGCCUCAAUAAUAAGCUUCAUAAAGGCAUUUUGUGUUAUAACAUAAUCGUAUCAUAUAUAUGAUAGUGUUCAUAAGAAACUCGUGCUUGCUCUGUUUUUGCUGUUACAGUCAACAUUAGAAUAGUGACAGCUUUAAAACCUAAUAUAUAUGUACAAAUAUAAAAUAGUGCUUAGUAUCUUUAUCUGCCAGUUGGUGUAUUUGACUUGAUCCUUAUUUUACAGGAAAUCUGGUUCAUAAUUUUAAGGUCCGAAACGUUUUAGGAAUUGGUGAUAUAAAGUGUAAGAAAAGCAAUAAUAAAAUUUCAGAUAAUGUUUGAUAAAACCACAAUGUCCACACAAUGCGCUAUUAAACAGUAGCGUAUGGAAAUGUCCAACAGUAUCACUGACUUAACACCUCAUCUGUAUAUAAUUUGUUUCUGUUGAAUAUUAAUUGUAAGUGAAAUAUCUGCAUUUCGUUAAUCAUCUCGUAAGGUCAAAUACUUUGAGAGGGUUAAGAGAAUAAAUUUGUAUAUAAAUGCGGGUUGAUAAGCUUUGACAACUGAAACAUAUUGGAUAUUUAAGAAAGUCACAUGAUAUGAAAAUUUGGUUUCGACAUUUUCUGUGUUAAUUUCAGAAUAUACUUUCAGUUAUGUUGCAUAUUUGUUAUAUCGAUAAAUUUAAUGUUUCUUUCCGGACUGGAGGUUGAAAGAUGUCAAAAAGGUUAUGAGAGGUCAUUUGAAUGCACAUUCACUUUGAUGAGUUUACAUUACUAAACCGAUUUUAGCAAUGCUGUUUAAAAUAUUAAUGAAUUUAAAUUUAAUUAAUUUUAUGCACCUGUCUACAUGAUGUGUGUCAAAUUCAGUCAUCAUUUCAAACACUUAAUAAAAGUAGUAUUUCUAUUUAAAUUGCCUAUAAAAUCCAAAAAAACCCCACAACAACACAUUUUCAUCUUUAACAUUUUGCAACAUAUUUUGAACUUUGUUUGGUUAUGAUAUAUCUGUAACAAUCAACUAAGAAUACAUUCUGUAUUCUCUCUGAGAUGUUUUGUGAGUUUGUACACUCGAUAAUUUCUUCAUAUUUUAGAGUAAGGAAUCCUUUCGUUACUUUAUAGUAAGUAUUCGAGUAAAUUUUGCCAUCAUAUUUAAAUUGAUUUUGCUUUUUCAAGUCUACUUAAAAUAACAAUUAUUUUUGAUAGGAUAGUUAUGUUCUUUUGUGCAAUUAUUAUUGGUAUGCAAUAUGCUUAAAUUCAUUUUAUUCUUCUGUGGCUGGUACA